AAGUCGUAACAAGGUUUCCGUAGGUAAGUUACACAAAAUAUCCUCGCUCUUCAUGGGAACAGUCGCUAACAUCUCUUCCAGGUGAACCUGCGGAAGGAUCAUUACAGUGUUAGGCUUCGGCCUCAUUCACACCCCUUGUUUAACCUCUGGUUUCUUUGGCGAUGUCAUGGACUCGUCAAACUUUAACUCUGAUAAUGUGGUACUGUCCGAGUGAUAUUGAAUUAUCAAAACUUUCAACAACGGAUCUCUUGGUUCCAGCAUCGAUGAAGAACGCAGCGAAAUGCGAUAAAUAAUGUGAAUUGCAGAAUUCCGUGAAUCAUCGAGUUUUUGAACGCACAUUGCACUCCUUGGUAUUCCGAGGAGUACGCCUGUUCGAGCGUCAUUACACUAUCAAGCUCCGCUUGGAUUUGAAUCGCUGUCGUGGCAGGAUUCCAAUAUCGUAGGCAAUUGACCAUCUGUGAUGACUCACUUGGAGUUAAUUCGCCUGAACCUUUUUAAACAGUUGACCUCGGAUCAGGCGGGGAUACCCGCUGAACUUA
rnacentral:rRNA from 1 species